GAUGAACGCUGGCGGCGUGCCUAAUACAUGCAAGUCGAGCGAACAGACGAGGAGCUUGCUCCUCUGACGUUAGCGGCGGACGGGUGAGUAACACGUGGAUAACCUACCUAUAAGACUGGGAUAACUUCGGGAAACCGGAGCUAAUACCGGAUAAUAUAUUGAACCGCAUGGUUCAAUAGUGAAUGACGGUUUUGCUGUCACUUAUAGAUGGAUCCGCGCCGCAUUAGCUAGUUGGUAAGGUAACGGCUUACCAAGGCAACGAUGCGUAGCCGACCUGAGAGGGGGAUCGGCCACACUGGAACUGAGACACGGUCCAGACUCCUACGGGAGGCAGCAGUAGGGAAACUUCCGCAAUGGGCGAAAGCUUGACGGAGCAACGCCGCGUGAGUGAUGAAGGUCUUCGGAUCGUAAAACUCUGUUAUUAGGGAAGAACAAAUGUGUAAGUAACUAUGCACGUCUUGACGGUACCUAAUCAGAAAGCCACGGCUAACUACGUG
rnacentral:rRNA from 1 species